rnacentral:rRNA from 1 species
UAAGGAAUAUUGGUCAAUGGACGCAAGUCUGAACCAGCCAUGCCGCGUGAAGGAUUAAGGUCCUCUGGAUUGUAAACUUCUUUUAUCUGGGACGAAAAAAGGCGAUUCUUCGUCACUUGACGGUACCAGAUGAAUAAGCACCGGCUAACUCCGUGCCAGCAGCCGCGGUAAUACGGAGGGUGCAAGCGUUAUCCGGAUUCACUGGGUUUAAAGGGUGCGUAGGCGGGCAGGUAAGUCAGUGGUGAAAUCCUAGAGCUUAACUCUAGAACUGCCAUUGAUACUAUCUGUCUUGAAUAUUGUGGAGGUAAGCGGAAUAUGUCAUGUAGCGGUGAAAUGCUUAGAUAUGACAUAGAACACCUAUUGCGAAGGCAGCUUACUACGCAUAUAUUGACGCUGAGGCACGAAAGCGUGGGGAUCAAACAGGAUUAGAUACCCUGGUAGUCCACGCCCUAAACGAUGAUUACUCGACAUUUGUGAUACACUAUAAGUGUCUGAGCGAAAGCAUUAAGUAAUCCACCUGGGAAGUACGACCGCAA